rfam:Cavia porcellus supercont2_33 genomic scaffold, whole genome shotgun sequence.
GGGGGUUUAGCUCAGCGGCAUAAGCGCCUGCCUUGCAAGCAGGCAGUCCUGAGUUCGAUCCCCGGUACCGAUA